rnacentral:rRNA from 1 species
AUGGAGUUGAAGUUCUCUGGCUGCCUAUUUUACUCCAGCCUGCACCUACCUGAGAGACUCGGACGCCCGUUCGGAACCUCUCAACUCAUCAAUGUUGGAGCUGCUAGACAAGUCAUCGUUGAGCCUGCUGGCAGCCGUCCCUCCAGGGAAGCCCUUGCCUAUGUUGGAUGUGGCGGUAUUACGGCUCUUUUUGGAAAGGAAGUUUGCAGCGUUCUGUAG